GGGGGCAACCCCUUGAGAGUGGCGAACGGGUGAGUAAUGUAUCGGAACGUGCCCAGUCGUGGGGGAUAACGUAGUGAAAAUUACGCUAAUACCGCAUACGAUCUAUGGAUGAAAGCGGGGGAUCGCAAGACCUCGCGCGAUUGGAGCGGCCGAUAUCAGAUUAGGUAGUUGGUGGGGUAAAGGCUCACCAAGCCAACGAUCUGUAGCUGGUCUGAGAGGACGACCAGCCACACUGGAACUGAGACACGGUCCAGACUCCUACGGGAGGCAGCAGUGGGGAAUUUUGGACAAUGGACGCAAGUCUGAUCCAGCCAUUCCGCGUGCAGGACGAAGGCCUUCGGGUUGUAAACUGCUUUUGUACGGAACGAAAAAGCUCUUAUUAAUACUAGGAGUCCAUGACGGUACCGUAAGAAUAAGCACCGGCUAACUACGUGCCAGCAGCCGCGGUAAUACGUAGGGUGCAAGCGUUAAUCGGAAUUACUGGGCGUAAAGCGUGCGCAGGCGGUUAUAUAAGACAGAUGUGAAAUCCCCGAGCUUAACUUGGGAACUGCAUUUGUGACUGUAUAGCUAGAGUACGGCAGAGGGGGAUGGAAUUCCGCGUGUAGCAGUGAAAUGCGUAGAUAUGCGGAGGAACACCGAUGGCGAAGGCAAUCCCCUGGGCCUGUACUGACGCUCAUGCACGAAAGCGUGGGGAGCAAACAGGAUUAGAUACCCUGGUAGUCCACGCCCUAAACGAUGUCAACUGGUUGUUGGGUCUUCACUGACUCAGUAACG
rnacentral:rRNA from 1 species